rnacentral:rRNA from 1 species
UACAGAGGUCCCAAGCGUUGUCCGGAAUCACUGGGCGUAAAGGGCGCGUAGGUGGCGACCCAAGUCGAUGGUGAAAGCUCGUCGCUCAACGACGAGUCGGCCACCGAUACUGGGUUGCUCGAGCACUGUAGAGGCAGAUGGAAUUCCGGGUGUAGCGGUGGAAUGCGUAGAGAUCCGGAGGAACACCGGUGGCGAAGGCGGCUCCUGGACCGACACUGACGCUGAGGCGCGAAAGCUAGGGGAGCAAACGGG